AUACAGAGGGUGCAAGCGUUAAUCGGAAUUACUGGGCGUAAAGCGCACGUAGGUGGUUCAUUAAGUCAGAUGGGAAAGCCCCGGGCUCAACCUGGGAACUGCAUUUGAAACUGGUGAGCUAGAGUAUGGUAGAGGUAAGUGGAAUUCCAGGUGUAGCGGUGAAAUGCGUAGAUAUCUGGAGGAACAUCAGUGGCGAAGGCGACUACUGGACCAAUACUGACACUGAGGUGCGAAAGCGUGGGGAGCAAACAGGAUUAGAUACCCUAGUAGUCC
rnacentral:rRNA from 1 species